rnacentral:tRNA from 1 species
GGGCGGAUAGCUCAGCCGGUCAGAGCGCCUGCCUUACAAGCAGGAGGUCACAGGUUCGAGCCCUGUUUCGCCCA